AUUGAACGCUGGCGGCAUGCCUUACACAUGCAAGUCGAACGGCAGCAUGGGUGCUUGCACCUGAUGGCGAGUGGCGAACGGGUGAGUAAUAUAUCGGAACAUGCCCUGAAGUGGGGGAUAACGUAGCGAAAGUUACGCUAAUACCGCAUAUUCUGUGAGCAGGAAAGCAGGGGAUCGCAAGACCUUGUGCUUUAGGAGUGGCCGAUAUCGGAUUAGCUAGUUGGUGAGGUAAAGGCUCACCAAGGCGACGAUCCGUAGCGGGUCUGAGAGGAUGAUCCGCCACACUGGGACUGAGACACGGCCCAGACUCCUACGGGAGGCAG
rnacentral:rRNA from 1 species